GUUAUUGGGUAUUACAUCAUUAUUACGCGUCUAAAGAUGGCGCAUCACGGAUGGCAGGAAGCAGCAGAAGCUCCCAGCGUGUCACCAGGUCCUUCAGCUCCAAGCCUUUAUUCUCCUUACUCACUCGAUCCAAACUACCUCCCUCAAGGUCCUGAGUUCAUAUUUCCAGUC